rnacentral:rRNA from 1 species
CCUACGGGAGGCAGCAGUGAGGAAUAUUGGUCAAUGGGCGCGAGCCUGAACCAGCCAAGUCGCGUGAGGGAUGACGGCCCUACGGGUUGUAAACCUCUUUUGCCGGGGAGCAACGGGCGCCACGUGUGGCUCCUCUGAGAGUCCCCGGAGAAAAAGCAUCGGCUAACUCCGUGCCAGCAGCCGCGGUAUUACGGAGGAUGCGAGCGUUAUCCGGAUUUAUUGAGUUUAAGGGAUGCGUAGGCGGACCGUUAAGUCAGCGGUCAAAUUGAGGGGUUCAACCUCUGCGCGCGAUUGAAACUGGCGCUCUUGAGUGGAAGAGAAGCAGGCGGAAUGCGUGGUGUAGCGGUGAAAUGCAUAGAUAUCACGCAGAACCCCGAUUGCGAAGGCAGCAUGCCGGCUUCCUACUGACGCUGAAGCUCGAAAGCGUGGGGAUCGAACAGGAUUAGAUACCCCAGUAGUC